rnacentral:rRNA from 1 species
GACGAACGCUGGCGGCGUGCCUAAUACAUGCAAGUAGGACGCAGUUGCGAACGGGUGAGUAACGCGUAGGUAACUGCCUAUUAGAGGGGGAUAACUACUGGAAACGAUAGCUAAUACCGCAUACUAGUAGAUGGACCUGCGUUGUAUUAGCUAGUAGGUAGGGUAAUGGCCUACCUAGGCGACGAUACAUAGCCGACCUGCAGGGGUGAUCGGGCACACUGGGACUGGGACACGGCCCCGACUCCUGCGGGAGGCAGCAGUAGGGAAUCUUCGGCAAUGGGGGGAACCCUGACCGAGCAACGCCGCGGGAGGUAAGGAGGUUUUCGGAUCUUAAAGCUCUGUUGUUAAGGAAGCGGUACUUACCCAGAAAGGUCCGGCUAACUACGUGCCAGCCGCCGCGGUAAUAC